rnacentral:rRNA from 1 species
GAUGAACGCUGGCGGCGUGCCUAAUACAUGCAAGUCGAGCGAGCAGACGAGGAGCUUGCUCCUCUGACGUUAGCGGCGGACGGGUGAGUAACACGUGGAUAACCUACCUAUAAGACUGGGAUAACUUCGGGAAACCGGAGCUAAUACCGGAUAAUAUAUUGAACCGCAUGGUUCAAUAGUGAAAGACGGUUUUGCUGUCACUUAUAGAUGGACCCGCGCCGCAUUAGCUAGUUGGUAAGGUAACGGCUUACCAAGGCAACGAUGCGUAGCCGACCUGAGAGGGUGAUCGGCCACACUGGAACUGAGACACGGUCCAGACUCCUACGGGAGGCAGCAGUAGGGAAUCUUCCGCAAUGGGCGAAAGCCUGACGGAGCAACGCCGCGUGAGUGAUGAAGGUCUUCGGAUCGUAAAACUCUGUUAUUAGGGAAGAACAAAUGUGUAAGUAACUAUGCACGUCUUGACGGUACCUAAUCAGAAAGCCACGGCUAACUACGUG